UACGUAGGGUGCAGGCGUUAAUCGGAAUUACUGGGCGUAAAGCGCGCGCAGGCGGUUUGCUAAGUGAGAUGUGAAAUCCCCGGGCUUAACCUGGGAACUGCGUUUCUAACUGGCAGGCUUGAGUGUGGCAGAGGGGGGUGGAAUUCCACGUGUAGCAGUGAAAUGCGUAGAGAUGUGGAGGAACACCGAUGGCGAAGGCAGCCCCCUGGGCUAACACUGACGCUCAUGCACAAAAGCGUGGGGAGCAAACAGG
rnacentral:rRNA from 1 species